rnacentral:misc_RNA from 1 species
GAUGAAGAACGCAGCGAAAUGCGAUACGUAAUGUGAAUUGCAGAAUUCAGUGAAUCAUCGAAUCUUUGAACGCAUAUUGCGCUCUUUGGUAUUCCGAAGAGCAUGCUUGUUUGAGUAUCAGUAAACACCUCAACCUCUUCUUGAUUUUUCAAAAGGAGGGUGGACUUGAGCUAUCCCAACAACCUUUACCGGUCGGCGGGCGGCUUGAAAUGCAGGUGCAGCUGGACUUUUAUCUGAGCUAAAAGCAUAUCUAUUUAGUCCUCGUCAAACAGGAUUAUUUCUUUUGCUGCAGCUAACAUAAAGGAUAAUUGUCCUCUUUGCUGACUGAUGCAGGAUUUUACGACACUUUAUGUGUUGUUCAACUCGAUCUCAAAUCAAGUAAGACUACCCGCUGAACUUAAGCAUAUCAAUAAGCGGAGGA